rnacentral:rRNA from 1 species
GUCUACGGCCAUAUCACCCCGAACAUGCCCGAUCUCGUCUGAUCUCGGAAGCUAACCAGGGUCAGGCCUGGUUAGUACUUGGAUGGGAGAAACUCCCUGAGAGCCCAUUCUACUCCGAUGUUGCUC